GACGAACGCUGGCGGCGUGCUUAACACAUGCAAGUCGAACGGAAAGGCCCUGCUUUUGUGGGGUGCUCGAGUGGCGAACGGGUGAGUAACACGUGAGUAACCUGCCCUUGACUUUGGGAUAACUUCAGGAAACUGGGGCUAAUACCGGAUAGGAGCUCCUGCUGCAUGGUGGGGGUUGGAAAGUUUCGGCGGUUGGGGAUGGACUCGCGGCUUAUCAGCUUGUUGGUGGGGUAGUGGCUUACCAAGGCUUUGACGGGUAGCCGGCCUGAGAGGGUGACCGGCCACAUUGGGACUGAGAUACGGCCCAGACUCCUACGGGAGGCAGCAGUGGGGAAUAUUGCACAAUGGGCGGAAGCCUGAUGCAGAAACGCCGCGUGCGGGAUGACGGCCUUCGGGUUGUAAACCGCUUUCGCCUGUGACGAAGCGUGAGUGACGGUAAUGGGUAAAGAAGCAACGGCUAACUACGUG
rnacentral:rRNA from 1 species